UUAGUGCUGGUAGAUGCUGCUUAUUUUUCAAGACGGUUUUAAUAGCUUUAUAUUGAUUUGUAACAAAGCCAGCUUCACUUUGAGAGAACCUAGAUAAUAAUUGUAAAGAAGCUUGGAGUCAUAAUAUAUUUUAACGUUAUAUGUUUGCUGUUCUUCAUCUUUUUAAAUAUGAAGUUUAUCCAUGUUUGUGUUUACAGAGGUCAUGUACACUGUGGUCAACUUUGUGGACGCUGAAGAGGUUUCUGGGUAAAGAUGAUAGAAAUAUAAUGAAGUAACAGUGGAAGCUAAAACAUCAGACUGAUCCAGACACUGAAGAAAUUGAUGUCACUGCAAUCUGGCCAAAAUGAUACAACUAUAUUGAAGUAGUCUACUGUAAUGAAGCUGCAGAACGUCACAGAGACUCUGAGGACAUCAACACAGAAAAUCAAGGCUCCAAAGAGAUGUCUGUCCAGAUGAGGGUGCAUCAACGUUACCUUUGCUGACAAGUAUAUGCUUUACAAUGUAAAACCUAACAGUUAACUUAACUCAAACCAUUUAAGGAAAUCGGUUGCCUUAAAUCAUUAAGUUUUAAAAAAACAUACAUUUGAGUACUGUGAACUUAAGUCUUGUGCAAUUAUGCACUUAUAUUUAGGUAGUGUGAACUUAAAUAUAAGUGCUUAACUGCAUGUGACUCCAUUUGUUUAAGUUCACAGUACUCAAAUCUAUGUGUUUUAAAACUUGAAUGGUUUAAUGCAACCGGUUUUCUUAAAUGUGAGAAAUUACAGUGUUACAGUGAGAAAUGUUUGAAUAAUUCCAAGUCAGAGCUCUGUGAUUGAUUCUACACUGCAAAAAAAUCACUUUCUAACACUUUUUAUCUUGUUUUCAGUAGAAAAACUAAAAAUUCUUAAAUCAAGAUGUAUUUUCUUGAUGAGCAAAAUUACCUUAGAAAAUAUGUCUAGUUUUUAG